rnacentral:rRNA from 1 species
UACGGGGGGGGUAAGCGUUGUUCGGAAUUACUGGGCGUAAAGGGCUCGUAGGCGGCCAACUAAGUCAUACGUGAAAUCCCUCAGCUUAACUGGGGAACUGCGUGUGAUACUGGAUGGCUUGGAUUUGGGAGAGGGAUGCGGAAUUCCAGGUGUAGCGGUGAAAUGCGUAGAUAUCUGGAGGAACAUCGGUGGCGAAGGCGGCAUCCUGGACCAACACUGACGCUGAUGAGCGAAAGCCAGGGAGCAAAGCGGG